CCUACGGGUGGCAGCAGUGAGGAAUAUUUGUCAAUGGCCGGAAGGCUGAACCAGCCAUGCCGCGUGAAGGUCAGUGCCCUAUGGGCGUUAAACUUCUUUUGUGCGGGAGCAAUAAUGGUCACGUGUGGCCAGACGAGAGUACCGUACGAAUAAGCAUCGUCUAACUCCGUGCCAGCAGCCGCGGUAAUAAGGGGGAUGCAAGCGUUAUCCGGAUUUAUUGGGUUUAAAGGGUGCGUAGGCUGGGAGGUAAGUCAGCGGUGAAAUGCCCCCGCUCAACGGGGUGAAGUGCCAUUGAUACUGCCUGGCUGGAAUGCGGAUGCCGUGGGAGGAAUGUGUGGUGUAGCGGUGAAAUGCAUAGAUAUCACACAGAACACCGAUUGCGAAGGCAUCUCACGAAUCCGCGAUUGACGCUGAUGCACGAAAGCGUGGGUAUCAAACAGGAUUAGAUACCCUAGUAGUC
rnacentral:rRNA from 1 species